UACGAAGGGGGCUAGCGUUGCUCGGAAUCACUGGGCGUAAAGCGCACGUAGGCGGAUUGUUAAGUCGGGGGUGAAAUCCUGGAGCUCAACUCCAGAACUGCCUUCGAUACUGGCGAUCUUGAGUCCGGGAGAGGUGAGUGGAACUCCGAGUGUAGAGGUGAAAUUCGUAGAUAUUCGGAAGAACACCGGUGGCGAAGGCGGGUCUCUGGGCCGAUACUGACGCUGAGGAGCGAAAGCGUGGGGAGCGAACAGG
rnacentral:rRNA from 1 species